rnacentral:rRNA from 1 species
UACGUAGGUGACAAGCGUUGUCCGGAAUUAUUGGGCGUAAAGCGCGCGCAGGCGGUCCUUUAAGUCUGAUGUGAAAGCCCACGGCUCAACCGUGGAGGGUCAUUGGAAACUGGGGGACUUGAGUGCAGAAGAGGAAAGCGGAAUUCCACGUGUAGCGGUGAAAUGCGUAGAGAUGUGGAGGAACACCAGUGGCGAAGGCGGCUUUCUGGUCUGUAACUGACGCUGAGGCGCGAAAGCGUGGGGAGCAAACAGG